ensembl:snoRNA
AGACUCCCAGCUCUGCCCAGUUACACUAGGCUUCGCCUGUGUGGCUUCUGUAAUGGGGAGGGAGAGAAAGGAUCUCCCCAGGACCUCAGAUUGGCUUUACUGUGGCAUCUCUUUCCUUGAGGGACACAAUAGGU